CAAACAAUGUAAUAUACCAAUCGUGAUAUUUUAAUCAAUAUAAGCUAAUUAUUGUAAAAAAAAACGGUAUUUAAGAACUUUUCUAUUCUCGUCUUUCGUGGUUGACUGUCCAUUUAAAUAUCCAAUGACGCCGAACAAAAAACAGAAAUCAAAACCAUUACAGAUUCUUCAACAAAACCGUAACGAAACCGAAAAUGAGUAUUUAAUACACUGGUGUGAAUGCGGUCAACACCUGCUAAUUAGUUUGCAUUGUCAAUUAAUGAUUGGAUUGAAGGAGCGACUGUUGAUAAUUAAGGACGGCAGGAACCAAGUGCUCAGAAGAGAUGUCUCGAUGGGCCACAGUCUAGUACAUCUAAGCGUCCAAAUUUCUCAGACAAGGACUAUGAUGCUAAUAAAAGAUUUCGGAAAUUCCAGGAAUCUUACAAGUUACAUACCCUUUGAUGACACAUGAAGCUGAUGACGAUAGCCAAAAGCCAGGACUCCUUAUUAUAAAUGUGUACUGAGUGCAGUUUAAUAAGACUAUUUGAUAUUGGACUGAAUGACAUCAUUGUGUCACUGUGUGAUACUGUUGAUAAGUGAUUAGUUAUGUCUACUGCAUGUCACACCAGACUACUUGUUGUAUUAUGUGUAUGUAGAUGAAUAAAUAAAAUAAACAUGAA